UGGAAGAAAUGCAGACUAGGCCCAAACUGCAAGGCCAGUCUUUUACGUGUACAUAAACUUCUGAGCCAACAGCUGGACGGUGCAGGUCGACGCAAAUGCAUGCUAAGCUGCAUGCAAACACCAGCAACUUGCCAGGUUUGCUUAGCCUAAUAUCACUUCUCAUAGGAGGAUGGAGGCUUUCGACUACGAUCAGGCAGCCAACUCUGGGUCAAAAUCUCUCAAAUUUGUGCAACUAAAUAAAAAUAAGAGGGGAUGGUG